rnacentral:rRNA from 1 species
GAGUUUGAUCCUGGCUCAGAUUGAACGCUAGCGGGAUGCCUUACACAUGCAAGUCGAACGGCAGCACGGACUUCGGUCUGGUGGCGAGUGGCGAACGGGUGAGUAAUGUAUCGGAACGUGCCUAGUAGCGGGGGGAUAACUACGCGAAAGCGUAGCUAAUACCGCAUACGCCCUACGGGGAAAGCAGGGGAUCGCAAGACCUUGCACUAUUAGAGCGGCCGAUAUCGGAUUAGCUAGUUGGUGGGGUAACGGCUCACCAAGGCGACGAUCCGUAGCUGGUUUGAGAGGACGACCAGCCACACUGGGACUGAGACACGGCCCAGACUCCUACGGGAGGCAGCAGUGGGGAAUUUUGGACAAUGGGGGAAACCCUGAUCCAGCCAUCCCGCGUGUGCGAUG